GUUUCCCCCUCAUCCUCCACCCCCGCCGUUGUUCCAGCUAGGAGUCGUCUACUCUGAAGCUCGGCCUCGCUGACUUUCGCCUGGGACGCAAUGCACGACUUGAUGUAGCGCCGAGGCCAAGCUGAGCCCACCCGUAACCUUCCAGCAGAUGAUUGCCAGCCAAGCUCGACUUCUUUUGGGUCUGCACUGUUUGGUGUCUGCAUCCUGCUGCUGCUUCAUCGGCAGGCAUGUUAAAAAAUGAAAAGAGUUUCUUCUUCGCAAGCACAUUGAACAUUCAAAAAACAUAUCAAACCAUGAUGAAAGGGAAGAGCGAGCUGAUGAACAUUUUUUUAGUCAUCUCUUGCCUUGUCAAUAAAACACUUUGAAAUUUUUCCUAGGCUGUGAAGUGGCCUUCUUGUUCGGAAGAAAAAGUGUUUGAAAAGU